rfam:Chelonia mydas contig266138, whole genome shotgun sequence.
CGACUAACAAUAGCACAGAUACCAUGAUCAUGAAGGUGGUUUUCCCAGGGUGAGGCUCAUCCUUUGCACUGCAGGUGUGCGGACCCCUGUGAUUUCCCCAAAUGCAGGAAACUCAACUGCAUAAUUUGUGGUAGUGGGGAACUGUGUUUGCACUUUCCCCUG